CUGGGAGGCAUGAAAAGGCCCCAAGGACACCACCCUCCAGCCCAGGAGCCUGAGGAGGCCGUGUCCUAUGAGUGUCCCCACCAUGGCCUGGACAGUUCUCCUGCUGGGGCUCCUUGCUUUCAGCUCAGGUGUGGAUUCUCAGACUGUGGUGACCCAGGAGCCAUCCCUGUCUGUGUCUCCAGGAGGAACAGUCACACUCACCUGUGGCUCUAGCUCUGGGUCAGUCUCUACCAGUAACUACGCUAACUGGUUCCAGCAAAACCCAGGCAAGGCUCCCCGCACGCUCAUCUACAGCACAAGCAGCCGCCCCUCUGGGGUCCCUGAGCGCUUCUCUGGAUCCAUCUCUGGGAACAAAGCCGUCCUCACCAUCACAGGGGCCCAGCCUGAGGACGAGGGGGACUAUUACUGUGUUCUACAUUACAGCAGCCCUUAUAAUUUGCACAGUGCUCCAGAGUCACAGGGAAGGUCCAGUUCAGACUGUGCUAAUGUUGCCAACACGUAG